rnacentral:lncRNA from 1 species
UCUAAACAAAUUUAAUGAAAAAUAAUUCAUUUUGAUUCUACAUACACGACAUGGUAAAAUGGUACAACAUAUGUACAAUAGACUUAUAAACAUGAGAUAUCAUAUGAACCUUCAUACGUGUCAUAGAUGAAACAGCUUAAUGAAUCUGUAGUAACAAUAUUAACAUACUGUUCAUCAUGUUCAUGUUAGUGUGGGUUUUGUCAAAAAUAAAUUGUAGUUACAAAAAUAAAUUCAGUUUUGUCUAGUAAAUUUUCAUUUAAAAACUGAUAUUUUCUAAACCUGUUUUUAAAAAAAAUGAUAUACAAGAAUGGGAGACAACUCUGUUCUUUUUUCUUUUCAAAAAUAAAUAAUUCAAAUCUCUGAUCAUGCUGAUAAUCAAUAUUGUUUUAGAUUUAGUGAUGAAAGGAUAAUAUUUACUAGACAUGCUUGAUAGCAUUGUGAACAAGAAUGUGUCCCAAGUACACAGAUGCCCCACUGCACUAUCAUUUUCUAUGUUCAGUGGACCGUGAAAU